GGGUCCCUUGGCAGAGGAGAGUCUGUGUUCUUCCCCAACCCUGUCUGUCUGUCUGUCACUUGCUUGCUUACUCUAUGUUCCCCAUCCCCUCUCUCUCCUCCAGUCUCUCUAGGACAAGAUCUUGAGGUAUGCAGCCCACACCAGUCUCAGACUCCCAGGAUCCUCUUGCCCACGACUGUCAAGUGCUGGGAUUAUGUGUGUACUGUGAGGGUCCUGCCUGAGUUGUCUGGGAGACUGCUUCAGGAGUUUGGCUACGUGGAUAUGAGACAGUCAGAGCUGGCCAGGCACUCCUUUUUAUCAGCUUCCUUCCUCCUCUUCCUUCUUCUAUUACUUUAUGUGUAUAGAGAUGUUUUGUCUGUCUGUAUGUCUGUGUACUAUGUACAUGCCUGGUGCCCUUGGAGGCCAGAAGAGCAGUGAGUGCUCGUAACGGUUGAGCUACCUCGCCAGCCUUUGUCAGCCCCUCCCCCCCCCAAUACAGUUAAAAGACCAACGUUUUGGGAGCACUCAUGGUUUCUUCAGGGUCACAGGAACCCAGAACAAAGGUUUGGUUUCCCCAGUGUCUCCAGUGGUCACUGCAACAGUGCAGUGAGUAGAGCAGGGCUAAGAUGGACACAGUGUCCAACCGCUGAUACGCUCGUCUGCUUCCAACUGUCCUGCAUAGUGUGGGGGGAGGCAAGGCGUGCCUUCGCCGGGAUAAUUAAUGUUUUCUUACUG
rnacentral:lncRNA from 1 species